UUUCCAUUCACUGCAGGUAUACCGUCAUGACAUCCAGUGAGCAUCUUCUGAACAAGUAUAAAACAGGUGGUAAGGAUUUGAUUUUGACUAAAUUUGAUCCCCACAUGGUUGAAGGUCACAGGGAUCUAUCUUCUCUCAUUUCUACGACCUUUAUUUUUCCACUUCAGUUCCAUCUCUCUCACCUUCAAUUCUUUCAAUCUCUAUCACAAUCUUCGUGCGGUUCGCAGUCUUCAGUGCCUGAGUCCUUCAAAGUGCCGCACAAGGUGUAAGGUCACGAUUGCUUGGUUUCAUGUCGCUUUGAGCAUGAUUUUUCGUUGAUUACAAUUUUGCAAGAGGAAGUUUAGCAUCAUGUGUAGAAGGUGGACAAGACACAAUGAAUUGAAUCUGAGACUAAUCUGUCGAUGGGAUUUUUGCGCCUUUGCAUUGUGAGGAAGUUGGGCAAAAUGCUUCGGCGUCUGGAAUUCUAGACGACA
rnacentral:lncRNA from 1 species